AGCCCGCCCGGCACCCGUACUCUGUCCGUCAGGAAAAUAAGCACCACCCCCGCCACGCUUCCUAGGAGGGCAGCACAAACGGUCCGUGGAGGAUUAGUGCCUGCGCUCAGAGCCUCCAGAGGAGACAGCCGCAUUCCGCCUCCCACCACCCCUUCCCUCCUUCUUUGUUUCCGGGUUGGAGUUACGAAAUUGAGUUUUCCAGGUCAAAGAUUUGGAGAGAUUUUCCCCCUAUUUAAUCUGCUGUGUUUCAUCCCACUGAAUUCUCAGCCCACCUAAGAUCAUUUAAGUAGCACUUCAUUAAGAAUGAUAAAGACAUUGGGAGAAGCCAGGAUGCUUUCAACCAACAUUUCCAUCAUCUGUCAUCUGGCUUGAUAAGUAGCACUUCCAAUGUGAGGCAUCAGGGUGUUCUUCAACUUCAACAAAGAAUGAUCUCUGGGCAGGAGCCCUGGUGUAUCACAUCCAGUGCUGUCUCCUUACUAACCUUUAACAUCUGAAGACCUUCCACCAGGGCAUCUUGAUCAACUAAUAGACAUUUACCAGUGUGUUAAAUGAUGUGAUAAAGGAUGCAAAUCAACAGCCAGAUGAAGAGAUGCCUAGGGCGACAUGUGGGAAAAGGGUACAAGUUUUCAUGCCCUCUCCAGGCCACCACUCUCCCCAUAUCUCCACCUGCUCACCAAUCUGGCAGCUCCUCUCCUUUCCUCUUUUGAAGUAUCCAUUCUGUCUGAUGGCUUUUACAUCCAUACUUCCUUCAUUCCAGCAGUGGCCCUGCCAGCUGUCAGAGGACUGAAAUCUUCAUGGACCCAUUCUGGAGUUUUCUUUUGUUAUGUUAUGUUAUGUUAUGUUAUGUUAUGUUAUGUUAUGUUAUGUUAUGUUAUUUUUAGAGAGAGAAGUGGGGGGAAAGGGGCAAAGAGAGAGAGAGAGAAUCCCAAGCAGGCUCCACACUCAGUGCAGAGACCAAUGUAGGGGCUUGAUCCGAUGACACUGGGAUCAUAACCUGAACCAAAUCAAGAGUCAGAUGCCCAACCCACUGAGCCACCCAGGCACUCCUGGGGUUUUCUUCUAUGAGUUGUUCUUUUCUCCAACCAUUCUAAUGAUUCUCUGAUCUGCCCUCUAUUACUUAAUACAUUCCUUUUCUGCUCACUUUUCCUAGAGGCUGUUUCUGCUACUUCCAAAUAAGAGCCAUUACUGAUUCAUUUGUUAAAUUUGAUGCCAUAACCUGGACGUUAACUAGAACUACCCUGCCCUGAUGAUUUAGAUAAAAUUGAUUCAAACUACAUUCAAUAGGUUGCGGAAAGUCCAAUGUCUUCUCCAAGAUUUCUACACAUUCUACAGGAGAUCUAGGUUCUCAUGGACACAUCUGACUCAGUCUUUUGCUUCCUCUAAAUCAGGAUUUCUCAACCUUGACAUUUUAGGCUGGACAAUUCUUUCUUGUGGGUGGCUGUCUUGCACACUGGAGGAAUUUUGGCAGCACUCCUGGCUGCUACCCACUUGAUGCUAGCGGUUACUCUGUCCUAGUUAUGAUCAUCAAAAGUGUCUCCAGACAUUACUAAAUGUUGCCUGGGGGGCAAAAUCACUCCUACUUCGGAACCACUAUCCUAAAUUAGUUCAGUGUAGGAACUGACACCUAUUGUCCCUGUUGUCACCAAGUCAACAUAGGCAUGGUACUCAAACUUUUUUCUUAAUUUCCACCAUUUUUUUUAAGUCACAAAAGGUACCUCUACUGGUAGAAAAUAUGACGGAAGUUCUGGGGAAAUUGAGAGAUUUUCAUCAUGAGUAUGCAACCAAUAAGAAUUUGUUAGGUGCCCGUAUUCUUAAAAACUUCUCUUGGUCAUUUUGUCUAGCCUCUGGCCACAUUGCUUGCCCCUCCUUGGUUUCUCUUCCCUUAUCUCUCUUUACCUUCUCUAUUCUCUGUUCUUCCCUACUUGCAAAUUUGUGUCCAUUUUCAAUUCAGUGGUUUAGUUAUAUUAUUUUACUUCUCUGUACCAACUCAUCUCCUUAGGGUCUUACUUUCCACCCCUAAUUGGUGAAUUGAGGUAUUUUUCUGAACAAAAAAGGCACCUCUCCCAUAGUAAUUCUGUAACCUAUUAUGAUAAUUAAAAUGGAAUCUUGUUGCAGUUCUCACUGACAAGCUCCCUCUAUGUAGCCACGGUAGUAUUAACCCCUUUCACAGGAAGAAAGCUAUUCUCAUUAUCUACUGCAGCAUAACAACUGACCAAAACUUAGUGGCUUAAAAUAACAACUGUUCCGUCAUAUCUCUCUUCAAAUGGCAUAUCCACGUGGUUAGCUUGGAUUCCUCCAGCAGGCUAUGCCUGGACUCGUUCACUUUUUACAUGGUGGCUCAGGGCUCCUGGAGGAAGGGCUGUAUGUACCAAGAAGAGAGAGCUGCCAGUGUCUUAAACCUUGAGUCUUCAGUGUCCCUUUUCACAUAUGGGUCAAAGUAGUCACAGAGCCUGUCAGAUUCAAGUCAAAGUGUUGUAUCUUUAUUUUACAACAAAUUUUGAUGUUACUCCUUCAUGCCAGUUACCCUCUUCCCCACCCAGGACCCCUCCAAAGUUCCAUUCCAUCAGACUCAGACUUGAGAUCUAGGUUUUUGAUGCAUCAGAUAACUAAAAAAAAAGAGCCAAGAGAGCCUGGUGCUCUGAAAGCUGAGGAACAGAUGGAUCUCAAGAAGAUCAAGUAACAGAGAUGAGGAGAGGAGAGCUUUGGCUGUGGCCAAUGGAAGACUUGGGUCCCCUACUCACUCCUUCACUGUGAUGGUGAUGCUGGGAGCCAGAGACCUUGUUUAUUUCCCUUAUUAUAUAUGUUUCUUUUCCUGAUGACACAGCACAUGUUUCUUAUAGAAAUUCAGAAAAUAUGGAAAAUUAUAAAAAAAGAAAGUGUAAUGCAUAGAUAACCCCUGAAACCUUGCAUUGAAUUGAUUUCUGUAUUCUUUAUAUAAACAUGAAUACUUACAGAUGCAUGUAUAUAUGAGCAUAUGUGUAUACAUAUUUAUUCCUUUUUACUCCCGUGCUUCCUCUGAUUGUUCAAUCACCAGCAAGACUGUGUGUGUGUGUGUGUGUGUGUGUGUGUGUGUGUGUGCGCGCGCGCGCACUCAGGGUAAGGUCACAGCAGGAAUGUGAAGAGAAAGGAAGGAGACAAUUAUCAGUAUUUACAUUUUCUAAAUAGACUUGACAUUCCUGGAAGAGACAUUACUUAGAGAAAAAAGAUUUCUGAGUCUCCAAGUUUGCCUUUGGGGACAAAAGCUCAAUUUUAUCUUUGUAAAUAAUAGACUUUGGAAGCAUGAGUGAUGUAGGAGUCAAUUUUCCUGCCGUGGAUUUGAUAGAAAUGUCACAGCUGAGCAAGGAGAGAUUUGGGAGGAAUGAUGGAGUUUUGGUGUUGGUCUAGGUCUCACAGACACUCCCAUACUUUGCAGAAUAAUGGAAGUCCUACAGUGGUGGGGCCGGGACCUCAAGCAGAGGACUAUAUACUGAUUCCCGGGGAAAUCUGAGGGGGCAGUGAUAAUGGCACAGAAGUCUCUCGUGCUCACACAUCACAGCAGUAAUGAAGAAAUGAGCAAAACAAGGCAAGUCUAGCUGGAGAGCUCACCCCACGUUGCCUGUGGCCAAGGAGGCUUGGGAAAGUGCCCUGGGGUUUCAUUUGCUCCAAAGGUGUAGAGAAGGACCAAGAGAAGGCAGAGAGACAACUCUUGAUGGAGCCAUAAGUGUCUAAGUGGAGGCAAGCCCACCACGUGCAAAUCACCAGAUAAACAAAGACAAGUGAUGGCUCAACCUAUGCCAGUGACAGACAGAGGGUGAGGAAGGACCGGCCUUUCCUCGCUCUGUGCUGCCACAAUCCAGUGGACAGAGGGGCCAAUCUAAUGGAAGGAGGAGGGAAGCAGUAGAUCCCUUAAAUGAUUGUUUAAACACAAGCGCUGAAGAAAACCCUGGUGUGAUUGAGCUACCUCAUAGCUAACCAGAUCCAUUUUUUUGUCCAUCAAGCAAAAUGAAGGAUUAAAGCAAAAAUCAAGUUGAGAUUUAAACAAAAAUAGUUACAUUUUCUGCACACUGUGACCUGAGAAGUAUGUGUCAUUGUUUGUUUGUGUGUGUGUAUACAUGGUCAUCUCUAUUAUUCCCUGAAGUUUUGAUCACACUGUUCAUGGAGUUUUACUAAACAUUAUAUCAUGAACAAUUUAACCAUGUCAUUAAAUAUUCUUUGGAAUGCCCUUAUUGGUGCAUAAGUCCAGUAUACUGAUACAGUGUUCCUUCCUUCCCCUUCCUUCCUUUCCUCCACAACUACCCCAUUGUGAAACACUUACUUUGUUUCAAAUUGUUCAUUGUUAAAUGUAACGUUUUUAAAAAAUGUUUUAAAUCUUUU